UCAAUACUACCAACUAGUUUUUUCAUUUGUACCGCAAAGUUCAUCUACCAUCUCAUAUAUGUAUACAGAAAAUAUUGUUUGUAAACAGAAGGAAGUGAUGAUCAAACCAGAUUGAAAGAUACGUCAUUGAGUGCAGCAUUGAUGUCGAAACUUAUUUCAAAGUUCUAACUUUUCUCAUCAGCGCUUCAUUCAAUCACGUUUCUUCCUUCAUUCUGGCUUACCCUUUUCAAUUCCCAUUUCAUGUUUGCGUUUUCCACUAUUGAUUUUUUUUUUCAAUCUAAGCUAGGGAAGUUUGAGAUGUUACACAAUUACUCUGUUUAUACAGAACAGAAACAUGGGGAGAAAUAACGAUUUAUUUAUUGCAUGUGUCUUUAUGGGGGAAACCGCAGGGGAAGGCCUAAAUUUUCUAAGUAGAAAAAAAUUUGAGGGUUGCUUCUGGGAUAUGAAGUAGACGGCGGCAACAGGAAGUCCGAGGGCAUUCUGUGAGGCGAAUUGUCGAGUGCUGAAAUUGCUGCGGGUGGUGCUUCCGCCGAGAUCGGUAUUCUGUUUGAAAACGGCUAAUACAUAUCGGUGAAUGCUGGUUGGAGGCUGUGGAACCUAUGUACUGCACCACCUCUACAGUCCUUCCUUCCUUCUUUCAAUUUGCUUCUAUCAAAUCCCAUUUCUUUCCGCAAAAUUCAAAACCCGAAUUGUGAAAUGCCAAAAUGUUUAACAUUCUCAAAUACCCCAAUUACCAAAUCAUCCGUUCAAAAUCAUUAAUAGCAGCAAGACAAUUGCACAAACAACCGAAAACCCAUUCCAGUGGCAUGGAGAAGCCAGAAAUCGGAUGGACAAAGCUGAAUUUUGACGGCUCCUCAAAAGGGGAAAUAGCACCGGGUCUAGCCAGCAUUGGGGGCGUUUUAAGAGACCACAAGGCCCAGUUUUUGUUAGGAUAUGCAGAGGCCAUAGGGAUAGUUGCAAAUGUAGCAAUUAUAUUCAAAAUAAUUAAGUAUGUAGCAACAUUUUAAAAAAAUUGCAAAUAUAGCAAAAUCUGUCAAAAUCUAUCAAUGAUAGGAGUCUAUCACCGAUAGACCAUGUAGCAAAUGUUGGUCUAUCACUAAUAAACCAUAAGAGUCUAUCAACGAUAGAAGUGUAUCACUGAUAGAUUUUGCUACUUUUGCAAUUUUUUUUUUAAAAUAUUGCUACAUACUUAAUAAUUAUUCUAAAUAUUGCUACAUAUUAUAAUUACCCUUUUAAGAGACCACAAGACCCAGUUUUUGUUAGGAUAUGCAGAGGCCAUAGGGAAAGCCAAUUGCAUCCUAUUACCAUAUUUUAGAAGUAACUCUUAAUCUUUACCUAUGUUGAUUCUCCUCCAUCGAAGGAUGUUAAUUCUUCUCCAAGUUGUUGAUUUUUAAGUUCUUUAGGUAACAAACUGACUUUCGAGUUCUUUAUGUAACAAACUGAUUUUCAAGUUCUUUAUAUAACAAACUGACUUUCAAGUUCUUUAUCUAA